UUCAUUUCCUUUAACGCGUUGCUCAUUUUCCAAAAGUCAACCCUCUGUUAGGGUUCGUUCGAGCUUGUUUCACAUGAAGGAAUGGCUUAAUUAGGGCUAGGGUUUCCUUCAGCAGAUCAGCAUCACCUAUGCAGCCCAUUCUCUCAUGCGCGCUACAACCUUUCAUGCGUUUAGGGUUCAGUUCUUAAUAUCUCCCUUCAUGUGUAGGGUUUACUUCUUUUCUUUGUUUAAUCUUCUCGGCUGCCCUUGAUCUAUAAAAGGUGCAGGCCAACUCGUUGUAAACAGCUUUGAUGAAUGAGAGAGAGAUUUAUCCCCUUUCGUCUUAGCUCACCUUCUAGUUGAGGUAUUCACCUCCUAGGAUCCGAACCAGUGAGAGUUCCCUACUGGAACUCGUGAGAGUGCCGAUUUGAUAACUUCUGCUGCGUGGAUCGGGAUCUGUGUAGUGUUCGCGUGCCAAUUCGCGCGAGUAUUCGCUGAGGCUCGCUCAUCAAAACUAUUGCUAUCUUAAGAUCGUGAGUCAGCUAAUUCAUCUCAUCUACUUUAAAUUGAUAUUAAGCAACAAUCUUCUUCUCUUGCAUCAUAACACACCUCAAUCCCUGGUAGGAAGCAUCAUAAAAGACUUCGACAUAUCAAAUUGGAUUUCAAAUGGUUGACACAAGGGCAUUGACAACACCUCUUCAUCUUGCUCUUUUCAGCGGUUUCAAAUGAGAAGAUCUGAAUAUAUCGUUUUUGUAAGCAGAUCUGAAGAUGUUGUCUCUCUUUUUCCGACUAAUAUGGUUCACUGUGACAUAUGGUUUUAUUACCCAGAUUUCAUUUUCAUUUUUACCUUUCUCAAGCGAACAAUUCAUAUUCUUCUUUUAUUUUCUCAGAUCUAACAAUUUUUUUACGAUGAUUGUAUUUUCUAGGUUUGCUACAUGUCUAAUAUGGUUCACUACGACAAAUUUAACAUCAGGCUUCAAAUCAAGAUUUCAAACUGAUUCAAGAGUCUUUUUCGCUGUACAACUUAACUGACUGUCCAGUAUGUACGGAUACUUCCAACAGCUAUGUCUUCUCCUAUUCUUUAUAUAUAUAUAUAUAUAUUCCCUAUGUUUACCAAUUCAAAGUCAGACAUCUGAUUUUUCUACUGUUAACCAUUUUGUUCUCUUACAAUUUUACUUCAUCACCAACCUAUUCUGCUGCAAUGGAACCCAUGCCCACACCACAAUCCAUACUUUCUUCAGACAUGGUUGACGAAUUCAUUUCUAUGUUUUUGAAAUACCAGGACUUUGGACACGUCGACCGAGUCUUCAUAAUACGCUAUUGGAAGGACCUUGGUGCUAAAUGGACCGUUGUUGAUUACCAAAGUAAUGUUCACCAUGUUACUUACAACAUGGAUAUUCACACUCCAAUGAUUACCCAAGGCUAGAACCAACUAAGAUCUUUCUAUAGAGAUCAGUCUGACAAGUUGCUUGUGUUAAAAUACGUCGGAAAUUCAUCUUUCGUAAUCCACGUCUCUACACGUUCUGCAGACACACGAAUCAAGACCAAGUUCCUCAAUAAUGUUGCCAUACGUCGUCCUCUCUCUAUGUCGAACUUAAUCCAUUUUACUGUUGAACUAUCCACAUACUACUGUCAAGCAAGCCACCUGGGGCGAAGUCGAGUGUAAAUUAUUAAUAAGACCUAGGUCUGUUAAGAUAGGAUCUGGCUGGAAAGACUUUUGUGCUCUUCAUCAACUCUCUGCAGAGGAUCACCCUGAAUUGUUUUUUGAAGUUGAAAGUGAAAGAACAAGCAGAGAUAUCAAAGUUCUUUAUCCAUUUUUUUGGUAUUAAAGUUGAAAAUUUUGUAUGUAAUUUUGUUUGAACUUCUUAUAUAUAUC